rnacentral:rRNA from 1 species
GAUGAACGCUGGCGGCGUGCCUAAUACAUGCAAGUCGAGCGAACAGACGAGGAGCUUGCUCCUCUGACGUUAGCGGCGGACGGGUGAGUAACACGUGGAUAACCUACCUAUAAGACUGGGAUAACUUCGGGAAACCGGAGCUAAUACCGGAUAAUAUAUUGAACCGCAUGGUUCAAUAGUGAAAGACGGUUUUGCUGUCACUUAUAGAUGGAUCCGCGCCGCAUUAGCUAGUUGGUAAGGUAACGGCUUACCAAGGCGACGAUGCGUAGCCGACCUGAGAGGGUGAUCGGCCACACUGGAACUGAGACACGGUCCAGACUCCUACGGGAGGCAGCAGUAGGGAAUCUUCCGCAAUGGGCGAAAGCCUGACGGAGCAACGCCGCGUGAGUGAUGAAGGUCUUCGGAUCGUAAAACUCUGUUAUUAGGGAAGAACAAAUGUGUAAGUAACUAUGCACGUCUUGACGGUACCUAAUCAGAAAGCCACGGCUAACGACG